GAUACUCUCAAGGUUUUGAUGAUGACACUAACAGCAAGCUAAUAACAGGAAACUGAUAUAUGUGAGCAUGCUAUCAAAGGUUGUUUAUGCGUACUAACAGUAUUUCAGGAUGUUAGCAUGAUUAUAGCUGUCAGCAAGCUUACAGGAUUAUUUUCAAGCUAUCAGCAGGCUUACAGCGUGAACAGAGAAACAAUCGGAUAAAGAUCAAAGUCUAUUUUCAAGGAGAUUUAAUAGGAAACGACUUUGUAAGGAUUCUAAUAUUUAUAUAUAUC
rnacentral:lncRNA from 1 species